rnacentral:rRNA from 1 species
UACGAAGGGGGCUAGCGUUGCUCGGAAUCACUGGGCGUAAAGCGCACGUAGGCGGAUUGUUAAGUCAGGGGUGAAAUCCUGGAGCUCAAACUCCAGAACUGCCUUUGAUACUGGCGAUCUCGAGUCCGGGAGAGGUGAGUGGAACUGCGAGUGUAGAGGUGAAAUUCGUAGAUAUUCGCAAAGAACACCAGGUGGCGAAGGCGGCUCACUGGCCCGGUACUGACGCUGAGGUGCGAAAGCGUGGGGAGCAAACAGGG